GCAUAAUGCAAAUGUCAUGUGAGUCAACAGCAAACAGAGUAGUCUACCAUGAUCACAACUGAUCACUCCAAUAUCAGUCAUUCUUCAAACGUGAAGAAAAAUAACCACGAGUGCAUUUUACUAUUAAGUUCCCCUCUUACUGUCUUGAAACGGCUUUAUCUGGAUGGCUCUUCAGAGCCUCUUAAUCCAAAGAAGAAAUAUAAAGCAGGAAAACCAACUGCAUCACAAACAGCAAUCCAGCAUGGUAUCAGGUGUUAUCACCUUCUCAUUCACAAGAGUUCACUUUUCUUGUCUACAAUCUCUUCUCCUCCGUUUAAGCCUCAUACCUUCACAAAAGAGAAGAUAAGAAAUGAAGGAACUUGGUUUUUAUCAGAAACAGUGCAGUCAGCAGGAGCAGGGAGAUGAUCAUCUCCCUGUAAUUGGCACUGGUGAGGCUGUACCUAGAGCGCUCUGUUCAGUUUUGGGCCCCUCACAACAAGAAAGACAUUAAGAUCCUGUAGCGUGUCCAGAGAAGGGCAGUGGAGCUGUGAAGGAUCUGGAGCACAAGUCUUACAAGGAUGCCUCAGUCUGGAGGAGAGGAGGCUCAGGGGGACACCUUAUCACUCUCUGCAACGACCUGAAAGGAGGAUGUAGCGAGGUGGGGGUCAGCCUCUUCUGCCACCUAACAGUGAUAGGACGAGAGGUGAUGGCCUUAAGUUGCGCCAGGGGAGGAUCAGGUUGGAUAUUAGGAAAAAUUUCUUCUCAGAAAGAGUGGUGGGGCAUUGGCACAGGCUGCCCAGGGAGGUGGUGGAGUCACCAUCCCUGGAGGGGAUCAAGAACUGUGAAGAUGUGGCAUUUUAGGGACACUGUUUAGCGAUAUGAUGGUAAGAGGUAUACAGUUUUACUAGAUCAUCUUAGAAAUCUUUUGCAACCUGAAUGAUUCUACUAAACUAUGGAAAUAUUUAGAGCCAUAUUCUAGUCCUGCUUGUGCUGCUAGAAAGCUAAAUGCAAGCAGUCCAAACUGUGGCUGAGAACUGAACUCCAGCAGUACGUAGUAGGGAACAUUCCGCCCUGCCUGCAAAGCCACAUCCCACAGCUGCACCACCCAGGAGGAAGCAGCAUCCCAGCGUCCAGCUUCACACAGUCCUUGUUCAUGUCACCAGCUCAGUCUGAAGUGCCUACUUUUCACUGCACGAGGAUAAUCCUGGAAAAUAAUCCUGGAAAUGACUUCAUCAUCUGAAGUCUGGAAAAGAGCUAUAUGGUUUAAGUAGUAACCCUCGGCAUUUUAUUCCACAGGUACUUGUGCUCAUUACUACUCUCUUAAACAUUAUACAAUAAU
rnacentral:lncRNA from 1 species